CCCAUAAGCCACUGCACUCCAGGCUGGGCAACAGAGCAAGAUCCUAUCUCUUAAAAACAGAAGCAAAAAUGAAACCCAUCAAUGUCAGAACUUACUUACUUUUCUCAGGUACCCAAGGCCAAGGACUUUAGCUUCUGAAUCUCUCAUUUCCUCAGGUCCCAGCAUCUUGUCCAGGGACCCUCCCUAUCAACCAAAGACCUCAGACUUCAGAUCUCCACCUACCUAUUCAGAGACCUCUGUCUGUCUGAUAGUCCUCUCAGAAACUCCAUCAAAACUCAGUCACAGAUGAUCCCUGUAUCCCUGAACUGUCUUCCAAAGUCCUGAGACGUAAUUUGGGAUCACCUGCACCCUCCACAUUGAAGGGAGGGAUAAGGCUAGUGUGAUCAAGCACCAAGCCUGUCAAAGCAGGCACAGGACGACCAAGCCAAAUCUCAGGCUUGGGAGAUUUGAGAAGAUGCAACAAUGAUUGAGCAGGAUCACGAACAAGAAGCAGCUUCCCACUGAGCCAUGAUGACCCGUUUCAAGACCAAGAAGAGAAAUUCCUCCCAGACCAGGAAGGGGCUGAGGUGGAGGCCAGGAUUGGAACUGUCCCUAGCCAUGGGCCUCCGGGAAGAGCAGGAGCUUGACUCCGGCUAUUGGUAGGCAGUCUGGCUUGAGGGCCAGGACAAGGGACAUCCAAGCUCCAGAGGAGGCCAAGAUGGUACCUCAGGACUUGGCCAUGUAGAUGAGUCACCUCAGGACCUCCAUGAGGCUGAAGAGUUAACACCAGCCAUGGAUAAGUCUAAGUAGCUACUUCUCUCCCUAGAGACAGGAACUGUGCCUAGUCUCAUUAGUCCUAGCCUGAGUCCACUGUAAAUCCAGAUUAAGGCUAGCAGAAUCUAAGCUGCAGGUCCCAGCUGAGGACAAAGCUGAAUGGCAGCCCUAACCUUGGCCUCAGGCCUGGACAAGGGGUAUCUGGGACUGGGGAUGAUGCUGAGUAGCUGCAUCCAGGGUCCUACCCUAAGUCAGAACCAGGGUCUAUCCUAAGGUAGGCUGAGGCGUUACUUGGGUAGAAGUGGGCAUAGGGUGAAGGACUCUUCAGAGGUGAGCCUGUUGAAUAAAUCCAGACA